GAUGAACGCUGGCGGCGUGCCUAACACAUGCAAGUCGAACGGAUAGGGACAGCUUCUUGCAGGUUUCAGAGGGGCGACGGGGUGAGGAGCACGAGAGUAACCAGCUCCCUACAGGGUGAUGACUUCAGGAGGAAGCGGAUACUACCGGCGAGUAGAUCUUGCUGCAGGGUGGGGGUUGGAAAGAAGCCGCUGCGGCGGAUGGAAGCGCGGGGUACCAGCUGGUUGGGGGGGUAGAGGCCGACCAAGGCUACGACGCGUAGGCGGCGUGAGAGAGUGAUCGGCCACAUUGGAACUGAGACACGGACCAGACUCCUACGGGAGGCUGCAGUAGGGAAUGUUCGACAAUGGGCGAAAGCCUGAUGCAGCAAGGCCGCGUGUGUGAUGAAGGCGUUCGGGUCGUAAAGCACUGUUGUAUGGGAAGAACAGCUAUAAUCGGAGACGAUGCGAGUUUGACGGUACCAGAUCAAAAAGAACCGGCUAACUACGUG
rnacentral:rRNA from 1 species